rnacentral:Y_RNA from 1 species
GGCUGGUCCCAAGGUAGUGAGUUAUCUCAAUUGAUUGUUCACAGUCAGUUACAGAUCGAAAUCCUUGUUCUACUCUUUCCCCUUCUCACUACUGCACCUGACUAGUCUUAA